rnacentral:misc_RNA from 1 species
GGACUUUUAUGAAACCAGGAGAACAGAUACAUAUCAAGGAGGUUCUAGAAGCCCACCAUAUGAAGACCGCCGCUACAAUGAAAGGUCUAGUCCUGGGGGAAGAAACUUUGAUGAGAGAAGAAGUCCAGGAUCUGAUCACGAAAAUCGGCAGUUUGGUGAUUUUAGGAAGAGUCCUGCUCGUUCUGAGGUUGUGAAUGAUUGGCGUCGAGAAGAUAGAUUUGGAAAUGGAAAAAGAGUAGAAGAUGGAAGAUUAUCUGAUGGAGAUUCAAAAAUUGGAGGCAGGUCACCUGAACAACCAAAUGAUCUGGAUGCUUCCAGUCCCCCCAUGGUACGACCUGUUAGGGAUAUCUUGGGAGAGAAUGUAUCUCCACUUCGUGUAAUUGAACCACCAAAAAGUAGUGGUACUAGCAAGGUUGCUGAUAGCUCUGUGCACAAACAGAGAACUGCUUCUUCGAGUAGCUUGGGGUCCAUCAGUGAGAAUGUCGUGGA